ACAUGCAAGUCGAGCGAACAGACGAGGAGCUUGCUCCUCUGACGUUAGCGGCGGACGGGUGAGUAACACGUGGAUAACCUACCUAUAAGACUGGGAUAACUUCGGGAAACCGGAGCUAAUACCGGAUAACAUGUUGAACCGCAUGGUUCAACAGUGAAAGACGGUCUUGCUGUCACUUAUAGAUGGAUCCGCGCCGCAUUAGCUAGUUGGUAAGGUAACGGCUUACCAAGGCAACGAUGCGUAGCCGACCUGAGAGGGUGAUCGGCCACACUGGAACUGAGACACGGUCCAGACUCCUACGGGAGGCAGCAGUAGGGAAUCUUCCGCAAUGGGCGAAAGCCUGACGGAGCAACGCCGCGUGAGUGAAGAAGGUCUUCGGAUCGUAAAACUCUGUUAUUAGGGAAGAACAAAUGUGUAAGUAACUAUGCACGUCUUGACGGUACCUAAUCAGAAAGCCACGGCUAACUACGUGCCAGCAGCCGCGGUAAUACGUAGGUGGCAAGCGUUAUCCGGAAUUAUUGGGCGUAAAGCGCGCGUAGGCGGUUUUUUAAGUCUGAUGUGAAAGCCCACGGCUCAACCGUGGAGGGUCAUUGGAAACUGGAAAACUUGAGUGCAGAAGAGGAAAGUGGAAUUCCAUGUGUAGCGGUGAAAUGCGCAGAGAUAUGGAGGAACACCAGUGGCGAAGGCGACUUU
rnacentral:rRNA from 1 species